GCUUGCGGCCAUACCAGCCUGAAUACGCCCGAUCUCGGAAGCUAAGCAGAGUCGGGCCUGGUUAGUACUUGGAUGGGAGACCGCCUGGGAAUACCAGGUGCUGUAAGCU
rnacentral:rRNA from 1 species